ACGAACGCUGGCGGCGUGCUUAACACAUGCAAGUCGAACGGAAAGGCCCUGCUUUUGUGGGGUGCUCGAGUGGCGAACGGGUGAGUAACACGUGAGUAACCUGCCCUUGACUUUGGGAUAACUUCAGGAAACUGGGGCUAAUACCGGAUAGGAGCUCCUGCUGCAUGGUGGGGGUUGGAAAGUUUCGGCGGUUGGGGAUGGACUCGCGGCUUAUCAGCUUGUUGGUGGGGUAGUGGCUUACCAAGGCUUUGACGGGUAGCCGGCCUGAGAGGGUGACCGGCCACAUUGGGACUGAGAUACGGCCCAGACUCCGACGGGAGGCAGCAGUGGGGAAUAGUGCACAAUGGGCGGAAGCCUGAUGCAGCAACGCCGCGUGCGGGAUGACGGCCUUCGGGUUGUAAACCGCUUUCGCCUGUGACGAAGCGUGAGUGACGGUAAUGGGUAAAGAAGCACCGGCUAACUACGUG
rnacentral:rRNA from 1 species